GUAGUUGUGGCCGAGUGGUUAAGGCGAUGGACUCGAAAUCCGUUGGGGUCUCCCCGCGCAGGUUCGAGUCCUGCCGACUACG
rnacentral:tRNA from 2 species